CAGAGUAAUAUCUGCCCGUGUAACCCGUGAUAACAGGGUCUUCACCCGUAAUUGUACGUGUAAUUGGUUACAUGUGCCCGUAAUUCACCUGCAGCACUGCGUAAUAUCCACCCGUAAUCACUGGGUAUUCACCCAUAAUUGUGCGGGUAAUCGGCUACAUGCGCCCGUAAUUCACCUGCAGCACCGCGUAAUAUCCACCCGUAAUCACUGGGUAUUCACCCAUAAUUGUGCGGGUAAUUGGCUACAUGCACCCGUAAUUCACCUGCAGCACCGCGUAAUAUCCACCCGUAAUCACUGGAUAUUCACCCGUAAUUGUGCGUGUAAUUGGUUACAUGCGCCCGUAAUUCACCUGCAGCACCGCGUAAUAUGCACCCGUAAUCACUGGGUAUUCACCCAUAAUUGUGCGUGUAAUUGGUUACAUGCGCCCGUAAUUCACCUGCAGCACCGCGUAAUAUGCACCCGUAAUCACUGGGUAUUCACCCAUAAUUGUGCGUGUAAUUGGUUACAUGCGCCCGUAAUUCACCUGCAGCACC
rnacentral:lncRNA from 1 species